GACGAGGGUCCUAGCGUUGUUCGGAAUCACUGGGCGUAAAGCGCAUGUAGGCGGCUUUCAAGUCAGGUGUGAAAGCCCACAGCUUAACUGUGGAAUUGCAUUUGAAACUGCUAGCUUGAAUAUCGAAGAGGAUGGUGGAAUUCCUGGUGUAAGUGGUGAAUACGUAGAUAUCAGGAGGAACACCGGUGGCGAAGGCGGCCAUCUGGUCGAAUAUUGACGUGAGAUGCGAAAGUGCGGGGAUCAAACAGG
rnacentral:rRNA from 1 species